rnacentral:rRNA from 1 species
UUCCGGUUGAUCCCGCCGGACCCGACUGCUAUUUGGGUGAGACUAAACCCAUGCGAGUUGAAUGGGAUACCUAAAUUCCCCAUAGCAAACUGCUCAGUAACACAUGAUCAACUUACCCUAUGGAGAAAAAUAACCUCGGGAAACUGAGGAUAAUAUUUCAUAGUUGAGAAGGCUUGGAAAAGUUUUUCAAUGAAAGGGAUAAAAAAAAUGGUUUUUAUUUGCCAUAGGAUAGGAUCGUGGUCGAUUAUGGUAGUUGGCGAGAUAACGGCUCACCAAGCCGAUAAUCGAUAUGGGGCCGCGAGAGCGGGAGCCCCGAGAUGGGUACUGAGACAACGACCCAGGCCUUACGAGGCGCAGCAGGCGCGGAACCUCCGCAAUACACGAAAGUGUGACGGGGUUACCCAAAGUGUCCAAAUUGGACUGUGGUAGGUGAGUAAUGUCCCCUACUAGAAAGGAGAGGGCAAGGCUGGUGCCAGCCGCCCGCGGUAAAACCAGCUCUUCAAGUGGUCGGGAUAAUUAUUGGGCUUAAAGUGUCCGUAGCCGGUUUAGUAAGUUCCUGGUAAAAUCGGGUAGCUUAACUAUCUGUAUGCUAGGAAUACUGCUAUACUAGAGGGCGGGAGAGGUCUGAGGUACUACGGGGGUAGGGGUGAAAUCUUAUAAUCCUUGUAGGACCACCAGUGGCGAAGGCGUCAGACUGGAACGCGCCUGACGGUGAGGGACGAAAGCCAGGGGAGCGAACCGGAUUAGAUACCCGGGUAGUCCUGGCCGUAAACGAUGCAUACUAGGUGAUGGCACGGCCAUGAGCCGUGUCAGUGCCGUAGGGAAACCGUUAAGUGUGCCGCCUGGGAAGUACGGUCGCAAGGCUAAAACUUAAAGGAAUUGGCGGGGGAGCACCAC